rnacentral:misc_RNA from 1 species
AACGCACAUUGCGCCCCUUGGCACUCCAAAGGGCAUGCCUGUUCGAGCGUCGUUUGAACCUUCAAGCCUGGCUUGGUGUUGGGCAGUGCCCCUUCGCUUCGGCGCGGGGUCAGCCUGAAAAUCAUCGGCGCCGCGGGGUUGGCGGGAAAGCGCAAGCAGAUUUGCGGCUCCUCCUCCCCCGUUCGGCUUCCGGAAGCUUAUCUCAACGUCGUUUUUGACCUCGGAUCAGGUAGGGAUACCCGCUGAACUUAA